GGGUAGGGGAGCGUUCUGUAAGCCUGUGAAGGUGUACUGUGAGGUAUGCUGGAGGUAUCAGAAGUGCGAAUGCUGACAUAAGUAACGAUAAAGCGGGUGAAAAGCCCGCUCGCCGGAAGACCAAGGGUUCCUGUCCAACGUUAAUCGGGGCAGGGUGAGUCGACCCCUAAGGCGAGGCCGAAAGGCGUAGUCGAUGGGAAACAGGUUAAUAUUCCUGUACUUGGUGUUACUGCGAAGGGGGGACGGAGAAGGCUAUGUUGGCCGGGCGACGGUUGUCCCGGUUUAAGCGUGUAGGCUGGUUUUCCAGGCAAAUCCGGAAAAUCAAGGCUGAGGCGUGAUGACGAGGCACUACGGUGCUGAAGCAACAAAUGCCCUGCUUCCAGGAAAAGCCUCUAAGCAUCAGGUAACAUCAAAUCGUACCCCAAACCGACACAGGUGGUCAGGUAGAGAAUACCAAGGCGCUUGAGAGAACUCGGGUGAAGGAACUAGGCAAAAUGGUGCCGUAACUUCGGGAGAAGGCACGC
rnacentral:rRNA from 1 species